GUGGGGAAUCUUAGACAAUGGGCGCAAGCCUGAUCUAGCCAUGCCGCGUGAGCGAUGAAGGCCUUAGGGUUGUAAAGCUCUUUCGUGGGGGAAGAUAAUGACUGUACCCCAAGAAGAAGCCCCGGCUAACUCCGUGCCAGCAGCCGCGGUAAUACGGAGGGGGCUAGCGUUGUUCGGAAUUACUGGGCGUAAAGCGCACGUAGGCGGACUGGAAAGUCAGGGGUGAAAUCCCGGGGCUCAACCCCGGAACUGCCUUCAAAACUCCCAGUCUUGAGUUCGAGAGAGGUGAGUGGAAUUCCGAGUGUAGAGGUGAAAUUCGUAGAUAUUCGGAGGAACACCAGUGGCGAAGGCGGCUCACUGGCUCGAUACUGACGCUGAGGUGCGAAAGCGUGGGGAGCAAACAGGAUUAGAUACCCUAGUAGUCC
rnacentral:rRNA from 1 species